GCUUGGGCGUGCCUCCACCCACGCCGGCGUCGGCGGGCGUAUUUCGCCUCACAGUAGGUCGCCGCGACCCGUUGCUUUGGGGGACGUCGAAGGCCCGGACGGAUUGGUACCCUACCGGCUGGGGAUGCGGCUUCGGCUUCUCCUCUUGUCCGGUGGGCGAAACCGCCGGUGUCCUGGCUGCCCUGCGACGGUCGUAGAGACGAGCCCUCCCCUUCGGGGGGGCGGCUCUCGCGGCGUGCAAAAGGUCGGUGAUCCACCCGACCCGUCUUGAAACACGGACCAAGGAGUCUAACAUGUGUGCGAGUCAGUGGGCGCACUAAACCCAGAGGCGUAAUGAAAGUGACACGGGUUCGGCUGUCGCCUCGUGUGGCAGCCGGACUCAGGGCCGAUCCCUCACCGGUUGCCCUCGCCUCUGUCCCGCGUCUCGGUAAGCCGGGUGAGCUAUUUUCCCCGGCCGCUGCUGCGGGGCGCGGGGGGAGGCGGGGUGCGAUGGUGUCCGUAAAAAAGAGCCUGCUGUUGCAGGGGGGCGCAGGCCCGGGACUUGCCAGGACGCCGCGAGACUGUCACUUUGCUGUGAGGCUCUCGGGCCGAUCAGCGGGUCAUGCGUGCAGUCGGCAAGUACCAUGAGCAGACAUGUUGGGACCCGAAAGAUGGUGAACUAUGCCUGGCCAGGAUGAAGCCAGAGGAAACUCUGGUGGAGGUCCGUAGCGAUUCUGACGUGCAAAUCG
rnacentral:rRNA from 1 species